GCCCACAUCCUGAUGGAUUGCUCAUUCGGCAGAGCAUCAGACUCUUAAUCUCAGGGUUGUGAGUUCGAGCCCCACACUGGGCA